rnacentral:rRNA from 1 species
GUGGAUUAGAUACCCUGGUAGUCCACGCCGUUAACGAUGGGCACUAGGCGCCGGGGGGAGCGACCCCUUCGGUGCCGUCGCUAACGCAAUAAGUGCCCCGCCUGGGGAGUACGGCCGCAAGGCUGAAACUCAAAGGAAUUGACGGGGGCCCGCACAAGCGGUGGAGCAUGUGGUUCAAUUCGAAGCAACGCGAAGAACCUUACCUGGGCUUGACAUGCACGGGAAAGCCGGUGGAAACAUCGGCCCCUCUUCGGAGUCCGUGCACAGGUGCUGCAUGGUCGUCGCCAACU